rnacentral:rRNA from 1 species
UAGGGAAUCUUCGGCAAUGGGGGCAACCCUGACCGAGCAACGCCGCGUGAGUGAAGAAGGUUUUCGGAUCGUAAAGCUCUGUUGUAAGAGAAGAACGUGUGUGAGAGUGGAAAGUUCACACAGUGACGGUAACUUACCAGAAAGGGACGGCUAACUACGUGCCAGCAGCCGCGGUAAUACGUAGGUCCCGAGCGUUGUCCGGAUUUAUUGGGCGUAAAGCGAGCGCAGGCGGUUUAAUAAGUCUGAAGUUAAAGGCAGUGGCUUAACCAUUGUUCGCUUUGGAAACUGUUAAACUUGAGUGCAGAAGGGGAGAGUGGAAUUCAAUGUGUAGCGGUGAAGUGCGUAGAGAUAUGGAGGAACACCGGUGGCGAAAGCGGCUCUCUGGUCUGUAACUGACGCUGAGGCUCGAAAGCGUGGGGAGCAAACAGG